AGUGAACGCUGGCGGUAGGCCUAACACAUGCAAGUCGAACGGCAGCACAGUAAGAGCUUGCUCUUACGGGUGGCGAGUGGCGGACGGGUGAGGAAUACAUCGGAAUCUACUUUUUCGUGGGGGAUAACGUAGGGAAACUUACGCUAAUACCGCAUACGACCUACGGGUGAAAGCAGGGGAUCUUCGGACCUUGCGCGAUUGAAUGAGCCGAUGUCGGAUUCGCUAGUUGGCGGGGUAAAGGCCCACCAAGGCGACGAUCCGUAGCUGGUCUGAGAGGAUGAUCAGCCACACUGGAACUGAGACACGGUACAGACUCCUACGGGAGGCCGCAGUGGGGAAUAUUGGGCAAUGGGGGAAAGCCUGAUACAGCCAUACCGCGUGGGUGAAGAAGGACUUAGGGUUGUAAAGCCCUUUUGUUGGGAAAGAAAAGCAGCAGGUUAAUACCCCGCUGUUCUGACGGUACCCAAAGAAUAAGCACCGGCUAACUUCGUG
rnacentral:rRNA from 1 species